rnacentral:tRNA from 1 species
CAAAUUAUAUAUUAAUAAAUUUUUUAUUUACAAUAAUUAAAUUAGUUGUUUGAAUCAACUUAAUUUGA